GUCCGGGUGGCUCAGUCGGUUGAGCGUCCGACUUCGGCUCAGGUCACGAUCUCACGGUCUGUGGGUUCGAGCCCCGCAUCGGGCU
rnacentral:tRNA from 1 species